AAUAAUCUUUCGUUCCAAUGGCAAAACUCGAUGACAGAUGUUUCUGUCACUUUACGGCCGCCAUGUUGGUGCCCCUCGGAAGGGCACCAACUUGAUGGCUUCUCCAUGCAAAGCUCUACAGAUUUGGGUGACACACUUUUCCGAAUAAGGCGCGAAUGAAAAACCACACAGACCUAAAUCUUGCCGAGGGUGUUUAUACAUCAGUCAUCUAUCAUAUCCCACAUUCUUGACUUGUGACAGUGUAAACCAGCAAAUUAGAAAAAAUAAUCAACAAAGUAAACCUCUGUUAAAUGUAAGUGGACUUGAUAAAUAGUGUUAUGGAGCUUUCCGUAUUCCCUUUUACUAUAGUUUGCUCUAACAUAUUUCUUUGUUUUGUGGUAAAGAGCGACUUUGGGGAAAUAGGCGGCGAAAGACUCAAAGAGAUGCAAUUCUCUGAUUUUACAAUAAAUUUGCGUAACACCCUCACAUCAACGUGACCGAACGUGACCUGGGUCACAGAUAUGUUACGCUGCUUAGCAACGCAGCCUCCACUGACGCCUCUGAAGAUAAACGCGGGCUCAGAUAGUGCUUCUACACUCAGUAAUGACCAAACAUUCCUUGUCCCACGUCACACUCGGACUCCCAAAAAGGAUGAUGGCCAAAUCAUUACGUAACAAUUUCGUGAAAUACUGAAGACUUCAGGGGUAUGAUAACACGGUUCAUUUAAUUUGCGGCCAACCCAACCCAAACUUUUAUUAAAUCGAAGUACAAAUUGUUUGAAUUCCAGCCAAAGCUAAUGUUUCUGUUAACAUUUGUUUAACCAUGUUGUUAAUUCGUACAAAAAAUUGUGUGCCCGCUGUUCCUGUUAGGUUUUCCCGCUGAGGCUUCAAGGUUUUAUAUUAGACACUUGUAGACUGUUUCCUUUGUUGAAAGAUUAAACAGAAUCUCUUUUAAAAUGUUUCCUUUCCCAAAUUUUUAACGAAAGCAGUUUUGAAAGUCUUGCUACUGCAAGGAUGUUAAUUUUACACCUGUGCGGAGCUCUGCAGCUGAUAGUUUGGAGAUCGUAGAAGCAAGACGGCAUCGGACCAAAUAGUAACCACAAUAUAAUCUCCCCAUUCAUUUUCAACCCAUAAUCAAAUGGACAGUUGAUGAUAAUGAGAACUAAUGAAAAUCUUAACGAAUUCCUGAUCAAGUUCAAAGAACUCAUCAGUUUAAACUGACGAAAUGUUGAACAAUCUAUCUCUAAAAGAAAUUCAUCUUGAGUAAAUGUAAUUUUCGUAACGAUCUUGGGUUUUCGUAUCAAACACACGCUCACUGGAUCAACCGAAAAUUUACAGACAACAACGAUGUCUUUAGAGGAAUGUAUAACCACUCUCUAAAAAGCCACGUCUUCACUUGACUGUUUCAUAUAAGUCUGGGAUACCGAAUAGAACACUUACCUUUUAUGGAAAACAUAGUUUCCCAGGGAGUUGAGUUGGAUUGCAAGAUCUCAGUAGAGAGGCUACCUCAAACAUACGUGGCAAUUACCGCCGCGAGAUUAAUAAGCUGUCCGCUAUAAUACUAUGCUACAAUUCGUUUCCCAAUUGUAAAACUGCACUUGAUCAAAUGUAACUUUGGUGCAACGUGUUUAACCAAGAUAGCUUCUUUAAUUCACUCAGAACUGAUCAAGGGUAAAAUGUUUGAAAUGACAUUAGGCACCGUAGAGACAUGCCACAGCAUGUGUUGAUUUUACAGACAUUUGAAAAAUAUUCCAAAGUUCCUCUGGAUUCAACUGAAGAAUUUUAAAAGCGGUAACUGAUCCUGUUCCAGCUGAUUGUGAUCCAGUUUAGAUUGCUUUUCCACUUUCGUACUUAGAGACGUAAAAAAAAAAAAAAUAAAUAAAUAAAAUAAAUUACGGAUGUGAAAUAAAUCAGUACUAGAUUUCGAUCAGCAUGCGUCAUUCAGUUUGACGUUAGAAAAAAAUGUUAGUUUAGAUUAGGACAGCAUUUUAACAAAUUCAUACAAUCCUAUAUCUAAGAUCUAUUCAUUUCGUAUCAAAGAUACUGCCCAGUGAAAAUCAGAGUUUGGAUUAAAGUGGCUCGAUCACGUAACCAUGACAUCCAAGACUGUUACUGUGUUCAAGAAAUGUCACUCUCCAUUUAGUAAACGAGCGAUCGUUUGUACAAACGGACGACAACUUACAACGCAACAUUAGGUAUUGAAUCAUUAAAACAAGAUGUCAAAGAACCACUUACGAUUAGUGUCAGCGUCCUGUGCAACAAUGUAUAAGUUUAGAUAAGCCACAAUUAACAAGAUUACUGUAAAGCCCUGAUAUGUCGGCAGACACUCCAUUCUUGCGGUGAAGAGUUGUUUCCGGUCAGAGCUGUUUGAACCUCGACGAAUUCUGACCAAAAAUGUCGUCCGCUGUGUUCAUCCUAAGGCAAAAAAAUACGAGUUAUUUAAGAUGUUUUGUUUAUGUUAGGGUCAUGAAAUAACACAGCGGUUGUCUCGUCCUCAAAGGCGUCCCGUAAACAGGGCAAUAUUUCAUAAUCAUUUGUUUUGUUCAUGCUUGUCAUUCAUGGAAUGCUCAGACUUGUUUGCGUCUAAUAUUUCACUCCCCGCUCAACUUGUUGAUAAAACGAAGUUUUGGAGGGAUUUAUACUGCUGCGGAGGCAAAAAGGUAGGUAUCAGUGUUCCGGGGGGGAUGCCAUAUAAAAAGGACGGGGGUGGUAGCCUGAAAUCUUGAAAAGAACCCCUAAGAAAAUUGUUUCCUUAAAAUUUUUCUCACAAUUUAAUUUCCAACAGAGAUUUCCGGAAACGUAUGAGAGAUGACCUCAAAACCUGAUACAUUUCGCAUCUUGCACCAUUCCAUUUCUCGUUUAGAUUUGAAUUGCAAAUAAUUACUUUUGAUUAUUCAUGUUUUCAUCAUCACCUUGACACGCCAAGAGCGCAAGAAAGAAAUAUGUCGCUCUAUCGACGGUCUUGUCGUAGCUAUCUCUCCAUAGCCAUCUUCAUGCUCUUUGGCAGUUUAAAAUUUUUGUCUAAAAGGGUAAGGUUAUAGACAGAAACGAGCAAUGGCGAACUUUGGAGGAGCGAAGUCGCUCAAGAGCCAGCAGUACACACGUGGGAAGUUGGACGAUAAAACAGAGUUCAAAACUGGACCGUUACAAGAUGUAAGCAGAGCUGAAUGUGCAAUAAACAGGUUUAUGCAGGUGAGAAUGGAAGGCAACUGGAGGAUGGAAUCUGUUUGGCUGACAGACGAGAGCCUGGGACGAGUUCGUUAUGCUCGGCAGAGUUUACCGCGGUCCUCGAAGGCAUAGAUCUGGUUGGUUCUAACAGGCACGCAGAUGUUGAGCGGAGUGCCAUAGUCCACGUAAAUGAGAACUGAAAAUGCCAGUUCACUCAGUCAAGUAAUUGAUGACCAAGAGACUGCAAAGCUGGAAUACAAUCAGUUUUUAGUAUUGACUGGUGAGCAAAAUUGUACUUUCUAAAUAUGUGAAAGUAAAUUAAUAGACAGCAUGAAAUUCUUUUGUAUCAAUAGUACACAUCAUCCAACCCUUGUAUAAAAGCAGAGCUCUCAAGUCUUACACACACUAAGUGUGAGACUUGGGCAAGCAAAUCAUUAUUCAAUCCUUAUUGACCCCCGUAUGCUAAAACUUAUUUCUUGCAAGGUAAGGUUUUUGAUUGAAGCAG